CGCUGUUAGGGGGGUGCUGACAGGAGAGUUUGCAGCCCUUGGGGAAUCAGCUGUCGUUCCCCAACAUUCCCCCACCUGGAGCUGGAGAGAAGAGGGAUCAGAUGGGAGGGUGGCCACUCCCCACCACUGUGUGCACGAACUCCCCAGCAGACCCUUCCGAGGGCUCAGCUCACCGUGGCCCCUACAAUUGAGAAAGGAUCCUUCCCUGCUCAAGCAUCCCAGGGGUCAGGGAUCACGCCCUGCCUGCAUUAUCACCCAACUCUGAAGACCAUUCAUCUAAAAACCUCAGAGCUUUUGAACAGAGUCACCUGGUAAGAAAAAUCCCAGAAGGCAGGAGCCAGCUUCGGAGAGCAAAUGGUUAACAGAAGAAUCUGUGUCAAUGUCCCCCAAGCAGACCUGAAGGCCACUCAAGUGUCCUCACCACCCCCCCUCACUACACGGGCUGACAGGAACAACGUCAUGGCAUGUGUGGGUGACUGUGCCCAUCAGAGGAGGCACAGGGUGAUCAGGAUGAGCUCCAGCUAGCUUCCUGCCAGGUUGCCACAUGGUCAGGAGUAGGAGGUGAACUAAGAAAGGGACCCCAGGGUGGCAGCAGGUGCAUUCAGGGUCAGGAGUGGGGUGGGGGGAGAUGGAGAGAAAGAUAGUAGGGCAAUGCUAAUUCCCAGCCCAGGGGCUUCUCAGAACUGCCACCAGUUUCUCUCUGUCCUCUGCAUAUACCACAGGUUCACACCCUCCACCGUCAUAGGCUCCCAAGGGCCCACUUGAGUCUGACCCCACUGACCUCUCUGCUUCAUGGCCCAGACUCCCAGGCAGUACUGAUGUGCCAGCCCCUCCCAGAGUACAGUCUUCCACAGAAAUGAACCCUGUGACUCCACAUCCCCCUAUUCUUCAGGACGAAGAGCUACAUGUAUAACUCCAAAACCUCUUCUUAUCCGACAACCCCCCCCCCAACACACUCUUCUCCACCCCUCCUAGGGGAAGCCCCAAGGCUCCAGGCCACCCCUACUCCAAUCUGGGGCCUUCCUCAGCUUCAACUCCAUACAAAACCCUGGAGGAGUUGGAGGAGUUGAGGGGUCUGAGCCCUAAUUUCCUCGCAGCACAUCAGAGUCCUUACUGGAUAAUUCCCACCGACCCAGGCUCAAGUUCUGCCCUGUGAAGCAGGAGAAAAAGGGUGACAAGCCUCAGCCCUGCCUGUGCCCAGGGUGGUGAGGUGAUCAGGAACAGAACUAAGAGUUGGGUAAAGAGCAACGGGAAACGAUUCUGUUGGAGAACACGCACACAUACAUGUGCACACGGUCCAAGGCAGAAGGUAGCAGUCUGGCUGCAGACUCAGAAGCUGGCACCAGGUAAGGAGCAGGGGGUACCAUCUCUUACAUGCCAACGUGCUGGGCACCCUAUCCAAGACGAGAUGAAUAGUGGUGGGGGAGGGCAAGAAACUUCUCAAGACAGUUUGUUGUUGUUGUUGCUUUUUAAAUUAUUUCCAUAUGACUUAACCCCCACCCCCAGCCUAGCACACUGGGGGAUCUGACCCCCUUUCCCACGAACAGUAAUACAGCAGGGCAGUGCCCAGAGAGAAAAGGAGACACAGUUAAACUGAUCUGCCAACCACCCCUCAACAUACACACAUCUGGCUAGCAGCUUCCAAGCCUCGUGGGUGGCACUAAAUCCCAGACAUCCUCAGUGAAGCAAGGUCGGCCAGUCUAUUCUGUCCUUCCCUCACCCCAAAAGGCUUCCACAACCCCCAAGUAACACAAGACUCAGGCGCGUCUCACUCAACUGCUCUGGCUCCCGCACCCAAUUCUGACGGCUCCCCCACACUCCGACCGAGACACCAGCUGAGCGGGCCCCGCCCCCCCAGCCAGUUCCCUCUGGUGGGGGUGGGCCCCUGGCUGAUUCUCCCCAAACCACAGGGCGGCUCAGGUAACAGGAGAAAGAGUAGGAGGGGGCUAGUCCGUUGGGCAUCUGAUCUCUCCCCAAACAGGUUUCAAGAAGUCUUUUUGUUUGGUUUGGUUUUGGAGAGAAAAGAGUUCCCAGCAGUGGAUCUGCCACGGCUGGAGCGCCGGGGACACGCGCGGCAGACGGCCGCAGAAGCCUCAAGGCUGUGCGCGCGAAGACGCGGCGUAGACGGGGCUCCCCAACCCCGGACACGCCAGCGGCAGGCUGGGAAGUCCAGGAAACCCCAGGUCCCCGUCGAAACCGCCCGGCACCCAGUCCCCGCCCGCAGCUCCGGUCCAGAGCGGGCCACCGGGCCCCGAUGUACCCAGGGAAGGGCGAGUCUUAAAGGAGACGCUUCCAGCUGGUGGCUGGACCGUGGGAAUCUGGGAGAAUCCCUCCCUCAACACGCCAGAAAGAGAUUGAGAGCGAGAAGGGGUGUGUGUGAAGUUCAGAG